AACGAACGCUGGCGGCAGGCCUAACACAUGCAAGUCGAACGGUUCCUUCGGGGACAGUGGCAGACGGGUGAGUAACGCGUGGGAAUCUACCUUGUGGUACGGAGCAACCAAGGGAAACUUUGGCUAAUACCGUAUGAGCCCUUCGGGGGGAAGAUUUAUCGCCAUAAGAUGAGCCCGCGUAGGAUUAGCGAGUUGGUGAGGUAAAGGCUCACCAAGGCGACGAUCCUUAGCUGGUCUGAGAGGAUGACCAGCCACACUGGGACUGAGACACGGCCCAGACUCCUACGGGAGGCAGCAGUGGGGAAUAUUGGACAAUGGGCGCAAGCCUGAUCCAGCCAUGCCGCGUGUGUGAUGACGGCCUUAGGGUUGUAAAGCACUUUCGCCGAUGAAGAUAAUGACUGUAGUCGGAGAAGAAGCCCCGGCUAACUUCGUGCCAGCCGCCGCGGUAA
rnacentral:rRNA from 1 species